CCUACGGGCUGCAGCAGUAGGGAAUCUUCCACACUGGACGAAAGUCUGAUGGAGCAACGCCGCGUGAGUGAAGAAGGGUUUCGGCUCGUAAAGCUCUGUUGGUAGUGAAGAAAGAUAGAGGUAGUAACUGGCCUUUAUUUGACGGUAAUUACUUAGAAGGUCACGGCUAACUACGUGCCAGCAGCCGCGGUAAUACGUAGGUGGCAAGCGUUGUCCGGAUUUAUUGGGCGUAAAUCGAGUGCAGGCGGUUCAAUAAGUCUGAUGUUAAAGCCUUCGGCUCAACCGGAGAAUUGCAUCAGAAACUGUUUAACUGGAGUGCAGAAGAGGAGAGUGGAACUCCAUGUGUAGCGGUGGAAUGCGUAGAUAUAUGGAAGAACACCAGUGGCGAAGGCGGCUCUCUGGUCUGCAACUGACGCUGAGGCUCGAAAGCAUGGGUAGCGAACAGGAUUAGAUACCCUAGUAGUC
rnacentral:rRNA from 1 species